rnacentral:lncRNA from 1 species
AAUUUAACACUUCAUAUGAAACUUGAGUCUUAUAAAUGAUGAGGUUUGAAAACAGCUUCUUUAAUCGUACGUCAUCAUCACAUAUUGUUGGAUCAAAGAUUAUCAAAGACUUCACUGAAUGUCGUUUAACCUUGGGUGUUGUCAUCAUCAAAAUUACCAAGAUCAUCUGAAGAUUACAAAUAGUUGUUCAUGUAAGCACAAAGAUCUACAAUGCUACCUUUGUAGGGCCUCUCCUCAACGGCGUAUCGGAAAGUACUUUUUGUCGCUCUAGUUAAC